AGCCGCGGUAAUACGUAUGUCGCAAGCGUUAUCCGGAAUUAUUGGGCAUAAAGGGCAUCUAGGCGGUUUGGUAAGUUCGAUGUGAAAAUGCGGGGCUCAACUCCGUAUUGCGUUGAAAACUGCCAGACUAGAGUUUUGGAGAGGUAGGCGGAACUACAAGUGUAGAGGUGAAAUUCGUAGAGAUUUGUAGGAAUGCCGAUGACGAAGGUAGCUUACUGGACAAAUACUGACGCUGAAGUGCGAAAGCUAGGGGAGCAAACAGGAUUAGAUACCCUGGUAGUCCUAGCUGUAAACGAUGAUCACUGGGUGUGGGGGGUCGAACCCCUGUGCCGAAGUUAAUGCGAUAAGUGAUCCGCCUGGGGAGUACGUUCGCAAGAAUGAAACUCAAAGGAAUUGACGGGGACCCGCACAAGUGGUGGAGCAUGUGGUUUAAUUCGACGCAACGCGAGGAACCUUACCAGUUCUUGACAUCCUCUAAACAUUCUGGAGACAGAGUGGUGCUCCUUCGGGAGAAUAGAGUGACAGGUGGUGCAUGGCC
rnacentral:rRNA from 1 species